AUUGAACGCUGGCGGAAUGCUUUACACAUGCAAGUCGAGCGGCAGCGCGGGGCAACCUGGCGGCGAGCGGCGAACGGGUGAGUAAUACAUCGGAACGUGCCCAGACGUGGGGGAUAACUACUCGAAAGAGUGGCUAAUACCGCAUACGAUCUAAGGAUGAAAGCGGGGGAUCGCAAGACCUCGCGCGUCUGGAGCGGCUGAUGGCAGAUUAGGUAGUUGGUGGGGUAAAGGCUUACCAAGCCUGCGACCUGUAGCUGGUCUGAGAGGAUGAUCAGCCACACUGGGACUGAGACACGGCCCAGACUCCUACGGGAGGCAGCAGUGAGGAAUAUUGGGCAAUGGGCGAAAGCCUGACCCAGCAACGCCGCGUGAGGGAUGAAGGCCUUCGGGUUGUAAACCUCUUUCUGGGAGAAGAGACAAGGACGGUAUCCCAGGAAUAAGUCUCGGCUAACUACGUGCCAGCAGCCGCGGUAAU
rnacentral:rRNA from 1 species